GUCAUUGUUUAUUCAUUCUGCAAUUAAGAGAGGGUAAUGAAAAAUUACAAUUGUUGUCGAUUUUUUCUUUUAGCAGAUGCCCCCAAAGAGACAUAAUUAUUGUCAAUAAUUCUUUACAAGCAAUCACUUGAAACUGCGGCUUUCUCAUUUAAUAGUGCAGAGUAACACAUGCACAUACGUGCGUCCUCUUAAAAAAAUAACAAAAAACUUUUUGUGACAAUUUGUGAAACCUAUCUGAAUGUCUGAUCUAACAAUGUUGUAGGGACUGUAUCAGAGAGUGUGAUUCUGGCAAAGGAUCGAAAAUCUACAGGCUUUCUUUAUAUUUUUGUACUUUGUUCUCAUAAAUUGUGCCCGUGGUUUCUUCGUGUUAAAAGCCUCAAAGCUUGUAUAUUCAAGUUCUCUUACUCUAAGCUAUUGGAGUUUUUCUUUCAGUUAGGGAAGAAGAGUCACACAUUUGUUCUGCGAAGAAGAAGAGGGUUCUAAAUUUGGCUGAACGGAGUUUGGAAUUUAUUAGGCCAUAAUCAUUCAUAAAGAUUUGACCAAAGAUUGUUGUUCCGUCUUUCGCGAUUCAUAUCCAUGGCUAUCAUUGUUGGAGCCAGCGGGGUCAGCGGUACUACAUAUGGUUGACGGAUAUACAAGCAGAAACGAGGCAAUCCUCCGCUCCUAAACAAGGAUUCUUACUGGAUAUGCCCCAGCGGUUGAAUAUAGUCGGCAUCUCUUUCUCUGAUCGCCGCAAAAUAUGGGCCAUUCGGCUAUUCAAUAGAUGAUACAUUGAAGAUCAAAAGCUGCAGGUUGAUGAUUUUUAUGCCCGGAAACAACAGAACAAGCUAGCUACCCGUCAAACGGAAUCGGGCAAAGCCAGCCAUGAAGAUUUUGUAUCGAAGCAUCCAGUGGAUAAUCAUGAGAAGGAUUAAAAAAAGCUUCUACCUAUUGUAGGUGUCUCUUGACAACAAGAAAAAUAGAGAUGUGAUUCGCAAGGCAUGGAUGCCUACUGCUUUGGCUCUCUUUUCCCCUCCCAUUUUUCCUAUUUUCUUUUGGUGGCCUUGUGAAGCUAAAAUUUAGCAACUCCGCUAAGAUGCUAAAGAAAUAUUUCAGCUACCUUACUGAUACAAUCAUUGUCUGUUGAACACAUUUAGACUUGGUUGCUGUUGAAUUCCCUAGCAACAUCAUUGGUCUUGUCUUAAUCCAAAGUUUCAUCAGUAUUAACUGCUAUCACUAUGAAUUCAACUUUUGAAUAAAUGAUUUCAUUCGAAAUCUCUAAGCUUAUUUUGGCAGGUGCUGCUCUUGAAAAAUUAGAGGAGGAGAAAGGUAUCGUAAUCAUUUCAUGGAAGCUACAGACUCUCAAGUUCAAGCAAAUAAACAAAGAGCUCAAAGGUACACGUUGAAAUGCCUAUAAUUUGGUAAGUCCACGAAGAAUAAUGUUAUUGAUCGAAGAUGAACAGAGGUACAGGAAUUCUGGGCUGAGAAGUAAGAAGCACAUGCAACGCCAAUAUGAUCCCCAAGACAAAGAACUUCAUUGCAUAGAAUAUAUAGUUGCACCUUAUCCAAUAACAUUAACUUUCUUUAUAGCACACUUAUUAUAACGGAUAUAGUUCAACCAUGGUCCUCUGUUACUAAGUUGGCUUCAGAAUCAAUGACGUAAGUGUACCUUAUUUUUGGUCAACAUAACUGUACUUAAUUCCUGCGCUUAUUCUAUAUAAC